GAUGAAGAACGUAGCGAAAUGCGAUAAGUAAUGUGAAUUGCAGAAUUCAGUGAAUCAUCGAAUCUUUGAACGCACCUUGCGCCCUUUGGCCAUUCCGAAGGGCAUGCCUGUUUGAGUAUCAUGAACACCUCAACUCUUUAUGGUUUUCCAUGAUGAGCUUGGACUCUGGGGGUUUUGCUGGCUCACAGUCGGCUCCUCUAAAAUGAAUCAGCUUACCAGUGUUUGGUGGGUAUCAUGGGUGUGAUACCUAUCUACGCUUGUGGUUUUUCCACCAGGUAACCUUCAGCAGUGGAGGUUCGCUGGAGCUCAUAGAUGUCUCUCCUCAGUGAGGACAGCCCUUUGAAUGUUUGAUCUCAAAUCAGGUAGGACUACCCGCUGAACUUAAGCAUAUCAAUAAGCGGAGGA
rnacentral:misc_RNA from 1 species